UAACGCGGUCCUUGCGUCCUUCCGGCUCCGUCGUGGAAGCAGGACUGCGCCGCGUCUUCCUUAAGGUUGAGAACAAAAAGAUGCACCUGGACUUUCCCCGGAGCACUCUGCGUGGUUGAGCUUCGGUGGAAUUUCGGGGCUCUUGGCUGCCAGCCGCGCUUGCCUGGUAGCAACAGAAACCAGUCCCGCUCGCCUCCGUGCCACAAAAAAGCCACACCCAAGAUCACCUGAC
rnacentral:lncRNA from 1 species